UGGAUGAAGACAGAGCAGUGGAGUUUGACACUAGCAUGUAUCAUUUUGAUGAACAUGUACCUCCAGCGAGGGAGAGUAAGAGCUUGAGUGAGGCUCAUAGGAACAACAAUAAGCUGCAGAGGUGGUGCAAGAAGCAGGACACGCUGCUCGCCAAGUGUUUCAAGACUAUCAAGUUUCUGACAAAGGUUUUGGGAUUUGUAAAGAAAAGAAAGAGUUCUUGUUAGCUAUUGAAGAUGGGCAA
rnacentral:pre_miRNA from 1 species